rnacentral:lncRNA from 1 species
AAAAACAAAAAAAAACAGUCACAUAGGAAGGAAAUACUCUGCCUUGAUGAUAGGAACUCCAAGGUCACAUGACAACCCAAGGGCAUAGGGAGAGAUGAAUUACUGGGGCCAUGAUUACAAUUUGCCACACUCAUUGCCAUUGGACAAACCAUCUCAACAAUAUCAGCCACAGACACUGACUCACUUUACCAAGGGUGAGGCCACUGUGCUUUAAGGGACUGCAUCCUCCAAUGUCCUUCCACCUUUUGCUGCAGAACCUCUUUAUGCAUAAGCUGAGGAUCAAGGGAAGACCAAGGGCUUUUGGUAAAUGCAGCCAUGUCUUCCCCUACCCUUUGCAGCA